CAGUAGCCGCGGUAAUUCGUAGGUGGCAAGCGUAGUCCGGAGUUAUUGGGCGUAAAGGGCUCGCAGGCGGUUUCUUAAGUCUGAUGUGAAAGCCCCCGGCUCAACCGGGGAGGGUCAUUGGAAACUGGGAAACUUGAGUGCAGAAGAGGAGAGUGGAAUUCCACAUGUAGCGGUGAAAUGCGUAGAGAUGUGGAGGAACACCAGUGGCGAAGGUGACUCUCUGGUCUGUAACUGACGCUGAGGAGCGAAAGCGUGGGGAGCGAACAGGAUUAGAUACCCGGGUAGUCCCUGUCUCUUAUAC
rnacentral:rRNA from 1 species